UAACCAGACUCCUACGGGAGGCAGCAGUGAGGAAUAUUGGUCAAUGGGCGAGAGCCUGAACCAGCCAAGUCGCGUGAAGGAUGACGGCCCUACGGGUUGUAAACUUCUUUUGUCAGGGAGCAAUUGAGUCCACGUGUGGUCUUAGCGAGAGUACCUGAAGAAAAAGCAUCGGCUAACUCCGUGCCAGCAGCCGCGGUAAUACGGAGGAUGCGAGCGUUAUCCGGAUUUAUUGGGUUUAAAGGGUGCGUAGGCGGAAUAUCAAGUCAGCGGUAAAAAUUCGGGGCUCAACCCCGUCGUGCCGUUGAAACUGGGGAUCUUGAGUGGGCGAGAAGUAUGCGGAAUGCGUGGUGUAGCGGUGAAAUGCAUAGAUAUCACGCAGAACUCCGAUUGCGAAGGCAGCAUACCGGCGCCCGACUGACGCUGAGGCACGAAAGCGUGGGGAUCGAACAGGAUUAGAUACCCUUGUA
rnacentral:rRNA from 1 species